CCUACGGGAGGCAGCAGUGGGGAAUAUUGCGCAAUGGGCGAAAGCCUGACGCAGCGACGCCGCGUGAGGGAUGAAGGUCUUCGGAUCGUAAACCUCUGUUAGCAGGGAAGAACGGUCACUGUGCUAAUCAGCAGUGAAUUGACGGUACCUGCAAAGGAAGCACCGGCUAACUCCGUGCCAGCAGCCGCGGUAAUACGUAGGGGGCAAGCGUUAUCCGGAUUUACUGGGUGUAAAGGGAGCGUAGACGGCAAGGCAAGCCAGAAGGGAAAGGGCAGGGCUCAACCCUGUACAUGCUUUUGGAACUGUGGUGCUAGAGUGCAGGAGAGGUAAGUGGAAUUCGUAGUGUAGCGGUGAAAUGCGUAGAUAUUAGGAGGAACUCCAGUGGCGAAGGCGGCUUACUGGACUGUAACUGACGUUGAGGCUCGAAAGCGUGGGGAGCAAACAGGAUUAGAUACCCGAGUAGUC
rnacentral:rRNA from 1 species